rnacentral:lncRNA from 1 species
CGAGUCGAUACAGUAAGUAAGCCGCCAAGCAUAUUGCUAGGCACAGAGCAGGUGUGCAACAAAAGUUAUUUCUCAGGCUUUCCCUCCUCUGAGCGCCGUCCUCCAGAGGGUCCGGAGUGUAGCUGGGGGUUGGAGCAGCAGCCUCCUAGGCGAUGGGACAGAGCCCACAGGGUCCGGUAUGCCACGGUUUCUUCGUCAGACCCUGGGAAUCCAACGUCGCAAAAUAAACACGGCCGCGCCGCUAAUCGCCAGUUCGGAGGAAACAAAACAGCGCUGCGCUGGGGGAUCUGGGCAAAAUCAGCCCUCCCUCCUCC